rnacentral:miRNA from 1 species
UAUGUGUGCAUGUGUGCGUGCAUGCAUGCAUGUGUGUGUUUGAACACACACACACACACACACACACACACACACACACACACACACACACACA